CGAUGUUUGUGGACAACCCCUGCCCAUCCUUCUGAAAACAAAGAAACCCAUCUCCUCCCUGUGCAAUUUAUAACCAAACCCCUUCCUAAACAUGCUAAUCUUGAUUUAAGAUGAGUGUCCUUGGGCAAUAUCUUUCUCUGACUUCCUCACAUGCCUGAAUUCCUCCCGUCAGACCAAGACCAGUCAGACCAGUCUCUGGACUAGAAGACAGAGAUAUCAGACCACCUCCCUGCA